GAUGAACGCUGGCGGCGUGCUUAACACAUGCAAGUCGAACGAUGAAGCCCAGCUUGCUGGGUGGAUUAGUGGCGAACGGGUGAGUAACACGUGAGUAACCUGCCCUUAACUCUGGGAUAAGCCUGGGAAACUGGGUCUAAUACCGGAUAGGAGCGUCCACCGCAUGGUGGGUGUUGGAAAGAUUUAUCGGUUUUGGAUGGACUCGCGGCCUAUCAGCUUGUUGGUGAGGUAAUGGCUCACCAAGGCGACGACGGGUAGCCGGCCUGAGAGGGUGACCGGCCACACUGGGACUGAGACACGGCCCAGACUCCUACGGGAGGCAGCAGUGGGGAAUAUUGCACAAUGGGCGCAAGCCUGAUGCAGCGACGCCGCGUGAGGGAUGACGGCCUUCGGGUUGUAAACCUCUUUCAGUAAGGAAGAAGCGAAAGUGACGGUACCUGCAGAAGAAGCACCGGCUAACUACGUG
rnacentral:rRNA from 1 species